rnacentral:lncRNA from 1 species
GCAGCCACUGGACAGUGUCCCAUCAGAACCCCAUCAGGCUCCGGCUCCCAGAUAACAAGCAGGCGCUCCCUGCCAUCACUGCCAUCAUUGAGUUCACUGCCAUCACUGAGUUCACUGCCAUCAUCUAUAUCACUGACGUCACUGCCAUCAUUGAGUUCACUGCCAUCACUGAGUUCACUGCCAUCACUGAGUUCACUGCCAUCAUCUAUAUCACUGACGUCACUGCCAUCAUUGAGUUCACUGCCAUCACUGAGUUCACUGCCAUUACUGAGUUCACUGCCAUCAUCUAUAUCACUGACGUCACUGCCAUCAUUGAGUUCACUGCCGUCACUGCCAUCAUUGAGUUCACUGGCAUCACUGCCAUCACUGAGUUCACUGCCAUCAUCUACAUCACUGCCAUCACUGAGUUCACUGCCAUCACUGAGUUCACUGCCAUCAUCUAUAUCACUGACGUCACUGCCAUCACUGAGUUCACUGCCAUCACUGAGUUCACUGCCAUCAUCUAUAUCACUGACGUCACUGCCAUCACUGAGUUCACUGCCAUCACUGAGUUCACUGCCAUCAUCUAUAUCACUGACGUCACUGCCAUCAGAGUUUACUGCCAUCACUGAGUUCACUGCCAUCACUGAGUUCACUGCCAUCACUGAGUUCACUGCCAUCAUCUAUAUCACUGACGUCACUGCCAUCAUUGAGUUCACUGCCAUCACUGAGUUCACUGCCAUUACUGAGUUCACUGCCAUCAUCUAUAUCACUGACGUCACUGCCAUCAUUGAGUUCACUGCCGUCACUGCCAUCAUUGAGUUCACUGGCAUCACUGCCAUCACUGAGUUCACUGCCAUCAUCUACAUCACUGCCAUCACUGAGUUCACUGCCAUCACUGAGUUCACUGCCAUCACUGAGUUCACUGCCAUCACUGAGUUCACUGCCAUCAUCUACGUCACUGCCAUCACUGACGUCACUGCCACCAUUGCCAUCACUAAGUUAACUGUCAUCAUCGGCAUCACUGCCAUCACUGGCAUCACUGAGUUCACUGCCAUCACUGAGUUCACUGCCAUCAUCUAUAUCACUGACGUCACUGCCAUCAUUGAGUUCACUGCCAUUACUGAGUUCACUGCCAUCAUCUAUAUCACUGACGUCACUGCCAUCAUUGAGUUCACUGCCAUCACUGAGUUCACUGCCAUUACUGAGUUCACUGCCAUCAUCUAUAUCACUGACGUCACUGCCAUCAUUGAGUUCACUGCCGUCACUGCCAUCAUUGAGUUCACUGGCAUCACUGCCAUCACUGAGUUCACUGCCAUCAUCUACAUCACUGCCAUCACUGAGUUCACUGCCAUCACUGAGUUCACUGCCAUCAUCUAUAUCACUGACGUCACUGCCAUCACUGACGUCACUGCCAUCACUGAGUUCACUGCCAUCACUGAGUUCACUGCCAUCAUCUAUAUCACUGACGUCACUGCCAUCACUGAGUUCACUGCCAUCACUGAGUUCACUGCCAUCAUCUAUAUCACUGACGUCACUGCCAUCAGAGUUUACUGCCAUCACUGA